GCGCCAAUGGUCUAGUGGUAUGAUGCGACCUUCCCAAGGUUGUGACCCGGGUUCGAUUCCCGGUUGGCGCA